rnacentral:lncRNA from 1 species
CCCACUAUGGGUCCCGCUAUGGGUCCUGCUACGUGUCCUGCUAUGGGUCCCGCUAUGGGUCCUGCUAUGGGUCCCGCUAUGGGUUCCACUAUGGGUCACUGAGUCCCGCUAUGGGUCGCUAUGGGUCUCUAUGGGUCGCUAUGGGUCCCACUAUGGGUCGCUAUGGGUCUCUAUGGGUCCCGCUAUGGGUCCUGCUAUGGGUUCCACUAUGGUUCACUAUGAGUCCCGCUAUGGGUCCCGCUAUGGGUCUCUAUGGGUCGCUAUGGGUCCCACUAUGGGUCGCUAUGGGUCUCUAUGGGUCCCGCUAUGGGUCCCGCUAUGGGUCGCUAUGCGUCUCUAUGGGUCCCGCUAUGGGUCCUGCUAUGUGUCCCGCUAUGGGUCGCUAUGGGUCCUGCUAUGGGUCCCACUAUGGGUUCCACUAUGGGUCACUAUGAGUCCCGCUAUGGGUCCCGCUAUGGGUCCUGCUAUGGGUCACUGUGGGUCCCGCUAUGGGUCCCGCUAUGGGUUCCACUAUGGGUCACUGAGUCCCACUAUGGGUCGCUAUGGGUCCCGUUAUGGGUCCCGCUAUGGGUCGCUGUGGGCCCCGCCACCCCAUCCCGCUCCACUUCCUACAGGGAAACCCCGCCCCGCCCCCAUGCCGCAAGCCACGCCCCCUCUCCCAUAUAAGGGCAAGCACCCCUCCCUCGGCCCCGCCCACACGGCUCAAGCACCGCCCCCUUCUCAAACCCCGCCCCCUUUUCAGACCACGCCCCCUCGGGGGCCGCGCCGCGUUUUUAUUGGCUCAGAGCAUCCCGCGCACGCGCGCCAGCGCCUCCUCCACCUUCCGCAGCUCCGCCUCCGCCUGCG